rnacentral:lncRNA from 1 species
GUCAGGAUGGCACGCCACCCCCAGGCCACCUGCAGCCUUACCUGCCCUGAGUCCAUGACCGCCAGGCAAUGCUGGGCCCCGACAGCCACAUGCACGAUCUUCUUCCCUCUCAGCCCUUCCACCACCUGCGGCUUCCGAACGUGCACGUCAGAGCGGUGGCCCAACCUGAAGUAAUCCCCCUUUCCCCUGAGAGGAGGCCCGUGGUGGAGUGUUACAAUACGGUUAUGGUCUUACCAUGCGAUACAAGAAGACACUCAUUGUCUCACAUCUUUCACAGCCAGCUCAAUGACAUCACACACAGCACCCAAGGUCUUCGAACUUGUAUUCAAAAUCAUACACCAUUAAUUCAAAUUAACUUAUUAAGUCAGCUGGGAAAAACCUUAAUACCUUAAUACAUGUUCUACAAUAUUUAAGUUACUGUUGUAGGUUUUCAUAUAGACUGAAAAUAAGACACACUACUGCAAACACCUAUCCAAAGUCCUAUCUAGUAUACAUCUUUCUUAAAGUGCCAAUGUUGGCCAGUCGCGGUGGUUCACGCCUGUAAUCCCAGCACUUUGGGAGGCUGAGGUGGGUGGAUCACGAGGUCAGGAGAUUGAGACCAUCCUGGCUAACACGGUGAAACCCCAUCUCUACUAAAAAUACAAAAAAAUUAGCCGGGCAUGGUGGCAGACACCUGUAGUCCCAGCUACUCGGGAGGCUGAGGCAGGAGAAUGGUGUGAACCCCGGAGGCGGAGCUUGCAAUGAGCUGAGAUUGUGCCACUGCAUUCCAGCCUGGGCGAUAGAGCGAGACUCCAUCUCAAAUAAAUAAAUAAAUAAAUAGUGCCAAUGUUAUGACCAGAGGCAGCAAGGCCUGACACAGCAUCCAAGGCCAGUCUGGGCACCUGCUCUUUUGCACAUUAAUAUAAUAAGCUUUAACAAGAAAUACAUGUUAACUUUCUCAGGAUCAAAGGAUUCAGAAGGCUAUUUUGCUCUCAUUUUAUCCUUAGGCUUCAGCAGAAGAAACACUUCCUAUAAAUCUCGCCCAAACAGGAAAGGUCACUGAAGCCCACUUUUGAGACAAAGACUAUUUCUCCCCCAAAAGUCAAGGGAAAUAUAAAAAGUGAAAUUAGUGAUUAAGCAUAGAAGUCAAUUAAUACAAUCAUUUUGUCUUAAUUAUUUAAAGUCCAGUUUUUUUCCUCCAGCAAACCUGAAAAUACACUAUCCUCCAGCUAUCAGAAUUAUAUUGAGAUCUACUCACAUUUAUGAUGAUGUUCAGAGAUUCAUCAUUGGGAAGGAAAAUGCACACGCUGCGGCGGUCUUGCAUGACUCUGUUGUGGAAAUUCAAUUUGUUCAUUGUGUUUUGGGCUCUCUGGGUGGUCAGGGCUGGGCUCUGGGUCCUUGGCAAUUCCUCAGGUUCCCAGCACUCCAAAGCCAAGCUCACCUCCUCAUCACACGCCCUGCAGGAGAAGCAUCAGGGUGUCCGACUACGUGGGUUUCAUAGCUGUGGAAAAGCCAAAGGGGAGACUCCUGAAGAAAGGCGGUGAAGACUGUGAAGAGCGGGUCAGGAAGAUGAGCACAGCACUGCUACUCCUGUGGGCACAGGGACAGCAUGUCUCCAGCCAGCGCCACCUUGUUUAAUACAUGGGAACUCACUGAAAUUCAUUCUGUAUUUUGCCCACAAAGUUUUAAAGCUUUCAUCCACAGUCAGGAAUUAAACUUAUACCAAUGAGAGCCUCACACAUUCAAGGAUGUACUAAGCACUACAGGCCUCACAGAAACAGAGAUCCCAUCUUGGAGUUUUCAGUCCCACAUGGGAGAUAAAGGGUUUUGAACAUGAAAUGACAAAAACAACAGCAAGAAGAAAAUUCUCGUCCUUUUUCAUUACUAUCAAACUCAAAUAAAUGUCUUGGCUCUUACAUUACAUUCAUUCUUCAACCAUUGUGGUCUGGCUUCCACUUCCUUCACUUCACCAACAUGGCUCUGCCAAAGGAAGCCUGUGAUCUCUAGGCCAUCACUUUAAUUGAUCUCUCUACAACAUUUAUCCUGGUCGUUAAGCCCUCCUUACAACAUUCUUCUCUCU